CCAAAUUUAUAUUACUUUCGACAGAAAAGAAGAUAAAGGAAAAACUAGCACUGCUUCAACUUUACGAAGAAAAACAGAAACGUAUGGAAGAAAAUGAAAAAGCCUUCAUGGACUGGUUGGAACACUCAAAAAACAGACCUAAACCUGUUCCCCUGAAUCAAGGACUAAAAAGUUUGUGUUCAUCUAUGUCAAUCACAUAUAUAAAUCCUGUUCCUUGGGUUCCAAAUUUGGAAGAAUCACAUAAACCAGCAUCUCAAUAAAAACCCAUGCAAUUUUCUGUUACUUAUCCUAGAUAGUAAAGAAAACACCAUUAAAUGGGAUAAUAAAACAAUGCUUGCAUUUUAUUGUCAAUAAUAUGCAUUGACUAAUACCUAAACUUAAAGUUGUAUAUAGGGUUAUUCCAUGAGAAAAUAUUUUAUAAAAAUUACACAUUCAUACCGAAAUUGGAAAUUCUAAUAACUUGUCACUAAUUAAAUUUUCAUUUUAACAUU